UACAGAGGUCUCAAGCGUUGUUCGGAUUCAUUGGGCGUAAAGGGUGCGUAGGCGGCGCGGUAAGUCGGUUGUGAAAUCUCGGAGCUUAACUCCGAAACUGCAUUCGAUACUGCCGUGCUUGAGGACUGGAGAGGAGACUGGAAUUUACGGUGUAGCGGUGAAAUGCGUAGAUAUCGUAAGGAAGACCAGUGGCGAAGGCGGGUCUCUGGACAGUUCCUGACGCUGAGGCACGAAGGUCAGGGGAGCAAACGGG
rnacentral:rRNA from 1 species